UACUAGAGUAGCACUCGCAUAUCAAUAAGCGGAGGAAAAGAAACUAACAAGGAUUCCCCUAGUAACGGCGAGUGAAGCGGGAAGAGCUCAAAUUUGAAAUCUUAAAGGGUUUCCCUUUACGAAUCGUAGUUUAAAGAAGUGUUUUCUGUUGAGGUUUUGGUAAAAGUUCUUUGGAAUAGGACAUCAUAGAGGGUGAGAAUCCCGUAUUUGACCUUUACUUUCAACUUUGUGAUACACUUUCAAAGAGUCGGAUUGUUUGGGAAUGCAGUCCAAAAUGGGUGGUAAAUUUCAUCUAAAGCUAAAUAUUGGCGAGAGACCGAUAGCGAACAAGUACCGUGAGGGAAAGAUGAAAAGAACUUUGAAAAGAGAGUUAAACAGUACGUGAAAUUGUCAAAAGGGAAGCGUUUGACACCAGUGUUGUUUUUCUGAAAAUCAAUUAAAGAACUGUUUAUGCUAAGUUGUUUAGACUUUAUCAGCUAACUGUUUAGUUUUGAGCUUUUCUUUAAUGCACUUUUCAGUUAACAAGUCAACAUCAAUUUCUUUUGCUGUAAAAAAGCUUGAGGAAGGUGGCUUGAGAUUCGUCUUAAGUGUUUAUAGCCUCUUGCCUAUGCAGUCGGAGAGAUUGAGGUCUGCAGCGUAGAUCCUUCGGGGCUAAAUGCAUUUGUGCUAAGUUAUAGCAUUUUAUAGACAACUUGUUGACUAUGAUUUGUCUUGUAGCUUACUCGCUUAUGUUAUUUUACCUACGCUUAGGAUGUUGAGCGCAUGUCUCUCUCU
rnacentral:rRNA from 1 species